rnacentral:rRNA from 1 species
UACAGAGGGGGCAAGCGUUAUUCGGAAUUAUUGGGCGUAAAGGGCGCGUAGGCGGCUUUGCAAGUGACGGGUGAAAUCCCUCGGCUUAACCUAGGAACUGCCUGUCAGACUGCAUGGCUUGAGACCGGGAGAGGUGAGUGGAAUUCCCAGUGUAGCGGUGAAAUGCGUAGAUAUUGGGAGGAACACCAGUGGCGAAGGCGGCUCACUGGACCGGUACUGACGCUGAGGCGCGAAAGCGUGGGGAGCAAACAGG